UACGGGGGGGGCAAGCGUUGUUCGGAAUUACUGGGCGUAAAGCGCGCGUAGGCGGCUCUUCAAGUCGAGUGUGAAAGCCCCGGGCUCAACCUGGGAACUGCAUUUGAAACUGGCGGGCUUGAGUGUGGCAGAGGAAGGUGGAAUUCCACGUGUAGCGGUGAAAUGCGUAGAGAUGUGGAGGAACACCGAUGGCGAAGGCAGCCUUCUGGGCCAACACUGACGCUCAUGCACGAAAGCGUGGGGAGCAAACAGG
rnacentral:rRNA from 1 species